rnacentral:sRNA from 1 species
GAGCUAUUUUGUAACCAUGUGGACAGAACCUAGAGCUGCCUGCCUGUGGGUGAGUUGGGACACCAAGGAUUAAGGCAGAGCCAAGAACAGAAAGAAGCCAGACUUCUGACACCAUCUGUGCUGCUGAAUCAGGCAUUCCCUGAGGCCAGACCUGCUUCUGGACUUUUCAGUCACGAGCUCUUGUCCCUGGCAAAGCGAAAGCGCAGUGACUCUGAGGAGAAGGAGCCGCCUGUGAGUCAGCCUGCAGCCUCGUCAGACUCGGAGACGUCUGACAGUGACGAUGAGUGGACAUUUGGGAGCAAUAAAAAUAAGAAGAAAGGAAAAGCC